rnacentral:tRNA from 1 species
GCGCUCGUAGCUCAGCUGGAUAGAGUACCUGGCUACGAACCAGGCGGUCAGAGGUUCAAAUCCUCUCGAGCGCGCCA